rnacentral:rRNA from 1 species
CAGUAGCCGCGGUAAUACAGAGGGUGCAAGCGUUAAUCGGAUUUACUGGGCGUAAAGGGCGCGUAGGUGGUUAUGUAAGUGAGAUGUGAAAUCCCCGGGCUCAACCUGGGAACUGCAUCUUAUACUGCGUAGCUGGAGUGCAGUAGAGGGUAGUGGAAUUUCCGGUGUAGCGGUGGAAUGCGCAGAUAUCAGGAGGAACACCAAUAGCGAAGGCAGCUCUCUGGGACGUUACUGACACUGAGGCGCGAAAGCGUGGGGAGCGAACAGGAUUAGAUACCCGGGUAGUCCCUGUCUCUUAUAC